rfam:Erinaceus europaeus unplaced genomic scaffold scaffold00740, whole genome shotgun sequence
CAAAAGGCUCUUUUCAGAGCCACUUCCACUUUCCACUAAAGAGCUU